UACGUAGGAUCCGAGCGUUGUCCGGAAUUACUGGGCGUAAAGAGCUCGUAGGUGGUUUGUCGCGUUGUUCGUGAAAACUCACAGCUCAACUGUGGGCGUGCGGGCGAUACGGGCAGACUUGAGUACUGCAGGGGAGACUGGAAUUCCUGGUGUAGCGGUGGAAUGCGCAGAUAUCAGGAGGAACACCGGUGGCGAAGGCGGGUCUCUGGGCAGUAACUGACGCUGAGGAGCGAAAGCGUGGGGAGCGAACAGG
rnacentral:rRNA from 1 species